rnacentral:tRNA from 1 species
UGGGUUGUGGCUCAGUGGUAGAGCGCUAGCACGUGUGAGACACUGGGUUCGAUUCUCAGCACCUUAU